rnacentral:lncRNA from 1 species
UAAAAACUGCAAUGCAACAUGCCUUUCACUAGCAGGUAAUCUAUCAUUUUGCCAUAAUUUUAUUAUCAUUCAUUUAUUUAUAAUUAUAUAGUUAGAUGGAGAUAGUCCUUAAUUAAAUAUAAACUAGAUUGAUGUAAUUAUGAAAUUAGGAUGACCAACUGUUUUUUUAAGGCCAAUCCAGGAUUCAUCCUUACCAGAUUUGUUAAAGCCUGGAACACAUCAGGUUUUAUGACAUUCACUCUCCUUAUGUGUUUUCAUAUUUCCUAUCCACCCUAUCCAAUACCAAAUUUUUUUGUACAUAUUAUACAGUAUGCUCUGUUUUUGUUAUUUACUUCUCUAAUUCAUAGUAUAUGGUUUCCAUUUUCUAUUAAAAUAACACAGAUGUUUAACAUUCUUUUUCAGUGGUGUCUGAGUCUUGUUAGUAUUACAAUCUUUAUC